GAAACUCCUUGGAUUAAAACUGGGGCUGGAUUUCAUAUUGGGUCCAAAGCUGAACUCUCAAAAAUACUGAUGUAUGCAACACAUCCUAUUUUGCUAAGACAUUAAACCAGCUCUCCUAAGCACCUGAUAUUUUAAAAAAUGAUAACAGGCCUUUCCUUCUUAUGGACCAGGUAAUUCAGCUGCUGCUACCCAGGACGAACUUCUGCAUUUCCCAUGAAGACUUGCACACUGGUGCAUAUUAAAAUCAUAUUACCACCUGGGAGCAAAGACAGCCCUGGACGACGAGCCACUCUCAAGAAACAUGUGGAGGACCACACUGUGGAGGCAGUGGGGACCUGGGGAGACUGGGUGCGCCGAUCCCGGUCCAGCAAGCUGGUCACCAUGACCUGGGCAGGACUUGAGAGGGAAGACACCCCUGGACUUUUGAGCCUAAGGCAGAGUCUCAGGAUGAUCCCGGCGAGGAUGGAGGCUCCAGUCCUACUGACAGUGAAUGACAACAGGUCUGUGUGGUCCUCCUCCUCAAUGUCGACCACUGGGAACAGCGGUGGUGGCGCGCCCCCUGAGCUCCCCCCACCUCUAGGCCUAGUUCUCUCUAAU